rnacentral:rRNA from 1 species
AGUGAACGCUGGCGGUAGGCCUAACACAUGCAAGUCGAACGGCAACACAGUAAGAGCUUGCUCUUACGGGUGGCGGGUGGCGGACGGGUGAGGAAUACAUCGGAAUCUACUUUUUCGUGGGGGAUAACGUAGGGAAACUUACGCUAAUACCGCAUACGACCUACGGGUGAAAGCAGGGGAUCUUCGGACCUUGCGCGAUUGAAUGAGCCGAUGUCGGAUUAGCUAGUUGGCGGGGUAAAGGCCCACCAAGGCGACGAUCCGUAGCUGGUCUGAGAGGAUGAUCAGCCACACUGGAACUGAGACACGGUCCAGACUCCUACGGGAGGCAGCAGUGGGGAAUAUUGGACAAUGGGCGCAAGCCUGAUCCAGCCAUACCGCGUGGGUGAAGAAGGCCUUCGGGUUGUAAAGCCCUUUUGUUGGGAAAGAAAAGCAGCAGGUUAAUACCCCGCUGUUCUGACGGUACCCAAAGAAUAAGCACCGGCUAACUUCGUG